CGAAAAAAUACCAUAUUAUAAAGCUGUUGAAAUAAGAGAUGGUGAAAAACUGAGAAAGAUGCGUAUUAGAAAAAAAAAAUGAUGGGUCGGUGUUUACAGAUGGGUGGAUGUUGUUAGUUAAAGAACAUCAAUUGAAAUACAAAGAUGGGGUACUGAUCACAGCAGUUGGGAAGUUGAAGUUUGAAGUUUUGUGUUUUAAAGAUUUGGUAUGUCAGAACUCGUAUAUUACAGCACAAAUUGAAUCAGAACUUGGAAUGUGUGUAAUGCCAGAUAAAUUUUAUCAUGACUUUUACGGCAACAAUUUCAAAGGUGGAAUGGCGAAGGUUUAUUUUGGAGAAAGAUUUUGGAACGUAAGACUGGAAGGAGGCUCGGACGGUGGUUAUUUCAAGGAUGGAUGGCGUAAGGUGGUUGAAGAGGUCCCUAUAGACAAUGAUUAUUUCUUGGUUUUUACCAGCCUGGAUUUAGUAAGCUUUGAUGUUUCCGUAUUCGAUCCUGACACCGGAACAGAAGUUUUUCUAAAAAAGUCUACUGCGGAUGAUGAUAUGAUAGUUGAACAAAAGUUGCCGGCUGAUGUGUGUGAAGAUGAUCUGGAAGGAAAUAAAAAAUAUGUAAGUAUUCAGCUUGUUCAUUUUGAAAGUGUUUUAUAUGUUUAACAAUUUUUAAUAUAUUUAUUUGAAUUAUUAUUUAACUUUUACGUAUUCAUGCUUUAUUAGACAAAGAUAACUCCAAAAGUGUUUUAUAUGUUUAACAUUAAUGAAUUUAUUUAUUUGAAUUAUUAUUAAACUUUUACAUAAUCAUGUUUUGGUAAGAAAGAAUGAAAAUCCAAAACAUUCUUUAUUUAUUUGAAUUAUUAUUUAACUUUUACAUAUUCAUAUUUAUUGUUUUUAUUGUGAAGGUUAAAGGCAAGUCCAAGGUAUAUGAAACUCAGACACAACGAAAUCUUCGGAGCAGAAUUAAAAGGGUUGAUGCAGCAGCAAGCACUGGUUCUCCGGUCUUGAAAUCCACAGACCUGACAAAACGAAAUCUUCGAAGCAGAAUUAAAAAGGUUGAUGAAGCGCCAAUGACGGGUUCUCCAGUCUUGAAAUCCACAAACCUGGUACAACAACAAAUUGUAACUUUUUUUGACAUUUUUUAUUGUUUACAUAGUUCAUAUAUCUUAAUUAUGUAGUGGCUUUCGUUCAAUAUGGUUUCUGCAAUAAAUGGGUUUGGGUUUAAAUUGUUUGCUAAUAAUAUAGCCGCUAUUUGUUUGGUUAUAAUAUAGGCGUUAUUUCUUAAUUGAUAAAAUAGUGGUUUGUUCAUUUCUUUUUGGUGAUAAUACAUGCUUUAUUUGUUUCAUGAUAAUAUAGUCAUUUGUUCAUUUGGUUUCGUGAUAAUAUAGGUGUAAUUCGCUUCAUGAUAAUAUAGUCAUUUGCUCAUUUUGGUUUGAUGAUAACUUAGGAAUUAUGUGUUUCAUAAUAAUAUAGCUGAUAGUAUUGUUUUGCAUGAUAAUAUAGUCUCAGGUUCCUUUCGUGAUAAAAUUGUUUUUAGUGAUAAUAGAGUGUCGUGUAGGGGUGUUCAAAAUUAGUGGAGGAAGUUGUAAACAUCCUAAGAACGAAGUAGUACUUUUAUUUGUCUCAUUUUUAUUUGUGUGUGUUUAGGAAAUCGGAUAUCCGAACUUCGGAUAGCCGAAAUUUCGGAUACGGAUUCGGAUAGUGAUAUUGACUAUCCGAAAAAUUCGGAUAUCCGGUUUUGAACACUCGUGUUUGUUUCGUGAUAAUAUAUAAUCUCUAUAAUAUAUAUCUAGAAUAUGUUCUAGUUAAUUCAAUUAUGUUCAGACGAAGCGCAAGAAGACACUUCAAAAAGUUAACCCACAAUCACCGGUUUUGAACUUCACAAGAUUUGCGGAACACAGAAUUCGACUACCAGCAAAAAUGUCAUCUGUGUUGGACUUAUCUCCUGUUCAUCUCAAAGAAGUCAGUGUUCAAAACCUGACAGGUGAAGUCAAGAACAUCAUGACCAGAUCGGAAAAACACCGCAAAGGGUUCCGGUAUGCAUUUGUUGGAUGGUCGAAUUACUUGAAGGCUUGGAACAUCAAAAUUGGAGCAGAACUGUUUUUUGAGUUCAACAACUCAAGCAAGGUCUUGACAUUGACAAAGGUUGUGGAGAAGCGUGGUGUUAAGAAGAAGAAAUUGCGUGCAUGACUCGGAAGUCUGCUUGUGGUUGUGGUGGUUUUUAUAAACAAUAUAUAUGCUACUUUCUUUUGUUGGGCUUUAGAGUCCUAGUUGGUCUAGAAAAACUUGGGGCUAAAUUAGACAGCUUUUGGUUUAUUUUGGGUUGGGCUUUUAUGUAAAUCAAGGUUAACAGGUAGUCAGGUACAUGCAUGGUUGGUUGUUAUUUUUGGGUAGAAUAACUUGACUAAUUUUGAUAUUA